UACGUAGGGUGCAAGCGUUAAUCGGAAUUACUGGGCGUAAAGCGUGCGCAGGCGGUUAUGUAAGUCAGAUGUGAAAUCCCCGGGCUCAACCUGGGAACUGCAUUUGUGACUGCAUAGCUUGAGUGCGGCAGAGGGGGAUGGAAUUCCGCGUGUAGCAGUGAAAUGCGUAGAUAUGCGGAGGAACACCGAUGGCGAAGGCAAUCCCCUGGGCCUGCACUGACGCUCAUGCACGAAAGCGUGGGGAGCAAACAGG
rnacentral:rRNA from 1 species